rnacentral:rRNA from 6 species
UGUAUGACUCUCGGCAACGGAUAUCUCGGCUCUCGCAUCGAUGAAGAACGUAGCGAAAUGCGAUACCUGGUGUGAAUUGCAGAAUCCCGUGAACCAUCGAGUCUUUGAACGCAAGUUGCGCCCGAGGCCAUCCGGCUAAGGGCACGCCUGCCUGGGCGUCACGC